ACGAUACAGUGGCAGACGGGUGAGUAACGCGUGGGAACGUACCUUUCACUACGGAAUAGCUCCGAGAAAUUGGUGGUAAUACCGUAUACGCCCUCAGGGGGAAAGAUUUAUCGGUGAAAGAUCGGCCCGCGUUGGAUUAGCUAGUUGGUGAGGUAAUGGCUCACAAAGGCGACGAUCCAUAGCUGGUCUGAGAGGAUGAUCAGCCACACUGGGACUGAGACACGGCCCAGACUCCUACGGGAGGCAGCAGUGGGGAAUCUUGCACAAUGGGCGAAAGCCUGAUGCAGCCAUGCCGCGUGAAUGAUGAAGGCCUUAGGGUUGUAAAAUUCUUUCGUCAGGGAUGAUAAUGACCGUACCUGAAGAAGAAGCCCCGGCUAACUUCGUGCCAGCAGCCGCGGUAAUACGAAGGGGGCUAGCGUUGUUCGGAAUUACUGGGCGUAAAGCGCACGUAGGCGGAUUUUUAAGUCAGGUGUGAAAUCCCGGGGCUCAACCUCGGAACUGCAUUUGAAACUGGAAGUCUUGAGACCAGGAGAGGUUAGCGGAAUACCGAGUGUAGAGGUGAAAUUCGUAGAUAUUCGGUGGAACACCAGUGGCGAAGGCGGCUAACUGGACUGGUACUGACGCUGAGGUGCGAAAGUGUGGGGAGCAAACAGGAUUAGAUACCCUGGUAGUCCACACCGUAAACGAUGAGAGCUAGUUGUUGGCAGGCAUGCCUGUCGGUGACGCAGCUAACGCAAUAAGCUCUCCGCCUG
rnacentral:rRNA from 1 species